rnacentral:lncRNA from 1 species
UUUUUUCCUAAUAUUUAUUGUUUUAUUUGGUCUCACAUAUCAAUUUAGGUUAAUGGCCGUUAAUCAUGUUUCUCUUGGUUUGCACUCAUUUUUCUUAUUAUGGUUUCCACGUCACUAACAAUAUGAUUGCUCUAGUUGAUAAAAUUACUUUUGAGUUACAGAUGAGAGAACUUAAAAAUCUUGUCAACGAAGGUAAAAUAAAAUAUAUUGGAUUGUCUGAAGCUAGCCCAGACACAAUAAGGAGGGCUCAUGCAGUUCAUCCCAUUACUGCUAUUCAAAUGGACUAUUCCCUUUGGAUCCGUGACAUCGAAGAUGAAAUAAUUCCGCUUUGCAGGUUUCCCAUAUUUCUCAAAUAUAUAUUGUUAUUCCUAUUCUAAUAUUAUAAUCUCAGAUAGCGUUUCUUCUUUUCUCUUUGGAAAUGGAUUAUAGGGAACUUGGGAUUGGAAUAGUUCCUUACAGUCCCUUGGGUCGAGGAUUUUUUGCUGGGAAGGUCGUAGUGGAAAACGUGGAAAAUAGCUCAUUGGUGUGUAUGCAUAUAUAUCUUUUUUAUUUUCAAUGCACAAGACUUUAGUGUCCAGGAUCGCUUAGUAGUUCCGUUACUUUUUUAAUCUCUAGUUGCUGAAAAAUUGGUUAAUUUCGUACUGUCAGACAAGUCACCCAAGACUUCAGGGAGAGAACUUUGAUAAGAACAAAGUUCUAUAUUUUCGUAUAGAAGCAUUGGCUAAGAAGCAUGGAUGCACUCCUGCUCAACUUGCUCUUGCAUGGGUUCUUCAUCAAGGAGAUGAUGUCGUACCAAUUCCAGGUGAGCCAUUUAUAUAAAAAUCUUUGCUCUAAAUACUGUAAUAGAAACCAUGUUGGACAGAUUGGAAAUGGAGAUUAUUAAAGAAAUUGGAGCUAUAUGUUUAGAAAACUUUGCUGUUGAGCUCACAUUAUAUUCAAAUUGAAACGUUUCUUUUGUCUCUGAGUAUUAGAAUAUUCAUAUCCAGAAGUAUGUAGACAGAAAUCAUCUUGGAGAUGUGUGCAUUCAGCUGUUCUGAUUAGUUUAGAUCCUUAAUAAUGAUUUGAACUGGAAUUGUAACAUGGACUAUACUGAAACAGCCAUUUGAACUAAUUAAAUGGGCGGCCUCAUGUGAUUCAGUUCAGUGUGAAUUCAGUUAGUUUAAGUAUUGGGCAAAGGGAAUUUUGGAGAUUUAUAGUUCCCUCAUCAGUUUGGUCGGGAGUAUCAACACGAUAACCUCCUUUGGCCCCUCUCCCAUUUCUUUAAAAAUAUUGGAAGUGCCUAUUUUAGAAUCUUGCCUCUCUUCCGCCAGUGAACACAAACAGGCUCACGAAGAGAGGGAGAACCCCCCCCACGUAAACAGGUUUGAGGAGUGUUAACUUUGCCACCACAUUGAUUUCUAGAGCUAAUGACUAUUGGCCCGUUUGGUAUGGCAGUGUUUGGAGAAAGAAAGCUGAAUUUUUGUUUGGAAACUAAUUUUCAAAAUUGUUUCCUGUUCUGGAAGUGCUUUUAGAGAGAUACAUUGGACCAGCUUCCUCUAUAAGCAUUUUUAACUACAGGAAGCGCCAUUUUGGCCAUCUAUUCCUUGGUAGAAACUAGAAAGAGCUGGAUCAUUAAGUUGGAUUAUAUCAAAACUAGUUUACGCAGAUCAUUCCACUUAUUCAAAUAAUAACAUGAAGUUUGGUCCAGUCUCACCUUCCUCCUUGGGGAUCUAUAUACUGUAAUAUCAUUAGGUAAGAUUUUGAUAAGAAUUUGGUGUACUUAAGCUUUUUAUCUCUGGAAAAUUAUUAUCAUUUGUAGAUGCUGUAAGAAUUUUUCCCAGAAAUCAAUGUUGUAGAUGGUGAUUGAAAUCUCACGAAUUGCAUUUGUUUCAAUGAUGAUUUAACUUUCAAUCUUGUAAUAUUUGUAGGUACAACUAAAAUUAAGAAUCUCCACUCCAACAUUGAUUCUCUGAAACUGAAGCUGACAAAAGAUGAUUUGAAAGAAAUUACCGAUGCGGUUCCCAUCAACGAAGUAGUAGGGUCGAGAAGUCAAAAUGAGGCUUUUCAUAAGAUCACAUGGGAAUUUGUGAACACACCACUCCCAGAAUGAACCAGCAGAUAAUUAUUAGCGUGUGAUGUUUUGAAAAAAUUGAAGUUUUAGUCGUGUCGAUAUUUCAUGUGGUCUUGUCAGCGUACUUUUACUAGUUAUCCAACUUUCACUAGUUUGUGUGUAUCUAGAUCAAAAGUAAUAUAUCGCAUGGCUAUUGAAUAAUUGAACAUCUUUUUGUUUUUUAUUCUCUUUGAUAAACAUCCUAUAUAAGAUCACACGGGAAUUAGUGAACACUCCACUCCUAGAAUGAGCUAGCAAAAUGUUUCGAUAUUUGAUGUAAUUUUGUCCGCAUAUUUUUGCUAGUUAUCCAACUUUCAGUGGCUUGUGUGGAUGUAAAUCAAAAGUACUCCACUCCUAUGAUGAACAAGCAAAUUGGAUAAUUAUUAGUAUGUGAUGUUUUGAAAAAAUUGGAGUUUUAAUUGUGUCGAUAUUUGAUGUAGUUUGUUUUGCAUACUUUUACCAGUUAUCCAACCUUUACUAGUUUGUGUGGAUGUAGAGCAAAAAUAAUAUAUCGUAUGGCUAUUGAAUAAUUGAACCUGUUUUUGUUUUUUUGUUUAUUUUAUUUUAUUUUUCUUUGAUAACCAUCCUACAUAAGAUCACAUGAGAAUUUGUGAAUACUCCACUUCUAGAAUGAACCAGCAAAAUGGAUAAUUAUUAGCGGGGUGUUUUGAAAAAAUUGAGGUUUUAGUGGGGUCGAUAUUUGAUGUAGUUUUGUUUGCAACUUUUAUUAGUUAUCCAACUUUCACUAGCUUUUGUGGAUGUAGAUCGGAAGUAAUAUAUAACAUGGUUAUUGAAUAAUUGAACCUCUUUUUGUUUUUUGUUUUUUCUUUGAUAACCAUCCUAUGGUCAUCUUGAUAAUCAAAUUGUUUUCUAGAUGUAUUGUCCUUUUAUUAGUGUGUGAUGUUUUGAAGAAAUUGGAGUUUUAGUCUUGUCGAUAUUUGAUGUAGUUUUGUCUACAUACUUUUAUUGGUAAUCCAACUUUUCACUAGCUUGUGUGGAUGUAGAUCGGAAGUAAUAUAUCGCAUGGUUAUUGAAUAAUUGAACCUUCGUUGUUUUUUAUUAUCUCUUUGAUAACCAUCCUAUGUUCGUCUUGAUAAUCAAAUUGUUUUCUAGGCGUACUAUCCUUUUGUCUGAGUAGAGUUGCUAUCUAUGUAGCUUGUGGGCACAUGCCUAAUGGUGUUAAACUGAGUAGAAGAAAAGAUUCAAAAAUUAAUGCUUACCGGUUCUUUGGGGUUAUAUGUCCAAAUGGGAAAAUUACAGUGGUGGCCCUCUGUCUUUGGACUGUUUAGACAACUCUUCAUCACAAUUUUAGUUUAUAACUAAUGGUAUUUUUGAAAUGCUAGAUAUUGGAUGUUAUUACACUAGAUAUUAGACAGUAUUUUGUGGCAUAUUUGUAUUGGGUUAAUAAGGUGUUUAAAUAUGUAUUUGGUGACACAUUUAUUUUCUAUAAAAUAUAGGUGAAAUAAUUGAAAUAAUUUGUAUUGUUGACUCACGAUUUUUUGUCAUUGGUGGAAUUGAACCCAAUUCAAAUCGACAAUUUGAUUAUAAUAAUUACGUGGAUCCAAACGGUUUUGUUUAUGAAAUAUCAAAUUGUAGUGGGUGAUUUUGAGCAUUAAAAUACUUGAAUUCAUCCACCCGACACCUAAGCCUUAUCACUCGGAUCCAGUUGAUUUAUUUCAGUUAUACAUUUUCAAAAAAUAAUGAUAUUAUACAUGAUUUUAAAAUUUUUGUUCUUUUUUUAUUACACAUUUUCAAAAUAAAAUAAAUAAAUAAAUAAAAUAAAAAAUCUCUAUUUCAAAAUGCACACGCACGCGCGCGCGCACGCACACAAAAUUUUUCAAAAUGGAAUACUUAUACGCACACAUAUAUGGAAUACAUAUUCCAUUUGAAAAAAUUAUAAUUUUUCAAAAUUUAUUUUAGUUAUUCAUUUUUCGAAAAAAUAAUGAUAUUGCAAUAAUUUUAAAAAUUUUAUUCUUUUUUAAUCACAUAUUUAAAAAUAAAUAAAUUAAUAAAUAAAAUAAAAUAAUCUCUAUUUCAAAACACAUCUUCUCAGACAAUUGCAUUUUAAUGAAGCCCAGCGACUGAAUAUUGCUGUUCAUCAUUUAUAACGUGGAGGCAUUGCUUACUUCAAAGAAAGAGCUCGAAGAAUGAAGAAAAAGAGCUUCAAAAAUAUAAUUUUUCAAAAUUUACAGCUUGUUUGACGGUGAUGUUAAGUCAAUUAAAAUCAAAUUUUUUUUUACAGUUAUUUUACUAUUUCAACCGUUGUUUUUGAAUUCUUUUCUCACAGCUAGAAUUCACUUUAUCUCUAUCGGUCAAAAAAUCAAUUCUCAAAAUCUCUACCAAACAAGCACUUAUUUCAAUUAUACAAUUUAAGAAAAAAUAAUGAUAUUACACACACACACACAUGUACAUACAUAUAUAAUACCCAAAAUUUUAAAUUUUCUGUUCUUUUUCAUUUACUUACUUAUCUAUUUUUUGGGAAUGUGUGAUAAAAAAGAAGGGAAAAUUGCAGCCGAGAUACCAAACAUUUCGUUUAUUAGCAGACUUUGCCCAAACCUUUAGUUUGUGCUACCGGAGGUACCAAACCUUUCAAAAAUCUGCACCCGAAGUCCAAAUGGAUGGAAACCGUCCGUUUGACCGUUAGUUGACCAAUAAAAUUAAACAUUGACCAAUUUUUGACUAAUUGAAAAGGGUAAAAAAGUAAAAGUACUUAACCCUAUAAUAAAACAAUUAAAAUAAAUAACUAAAGCAAAAAAAAAUACUAUUCAUCUCCUUCUUCACCCUACCCCACCCCCACCCCCACCCCAUCCAAACCAUACUGUAAACUAUAAAAUGUAAACUAUUCUCUUCCUCCUUCCAAUACACGAGUGAGUGCGUGUGAGUGAGAGUUUUAAUUUAUUCUGGAAAAUGUAUAAUUGAAAUAAAUUUUGAAAAAUUAUAUUUUUGAAAAAAUGAAACAUAAACAGUCGUUCUUUGGCUUACUUUAAAAUUAACAAAAAAAAUAUAUAAUUGAAUGAUGUACCAUAUUAUCAAUAUUUGACGUAAGCUAAACACAAUUACUUGGGAGAUAAUUUUUAUAUAUACAUUAUAUACACACGUACAUAUAUCAAACGCAUUUUAAAAAAAAAAGCCCCGUGGCUGAAUAUUGCUGUUCCUCAUUGAUAACGUGGACGCACUGCUUAGUUCAAAGAAAGAGCUCGAAGAAUGAAGAAAAAGAGCUGGGUCCUGGGGGCUUCCAGAGUUUUCAGAGCUGGGUCCUGGGGACUUCCAGAGUUUUCCUUUCAUAUACAUAUAUUUACGCCAAUUCCAGUGGCUUCAACUUACUGGAACUUGAAGAGGCGCUGCUUAGUUCGAGGAAAAUUAGCAAUGGCCGAACAAUUUGAGAUGCCACGAGUGAAACUGGGAACCCAAGGACUUGAGGUAUAUGUUACAAUUACUUAAUUCAAUUUGGGAUUCGAUUCAAUUUGUAGAUAAUGCAAUGAUCUUCAAAGAAUGUAUCCUAAAUCUCAUUGCUUUAUCCAAUGACAUGUUUUUCCCUCCUAGGUAUCAAGGCUAGGUUAUGGUUGUAUGGGGCUUUCAGGUAUCUACAAUAAUCCUGUCCCUGAGGAAGAAGGAAUUGCAAUAAUCAAAGAGGCAUUUAAUAAAGGAAUUACGUUCUUUGACACAUCGGAUGCUUAUGGCAUGAACCAUGCCAACGAGUACUUGGUGGGGAAGGUAGGUACUUUGCUAAGAAAAUUAUUCUUGAUUAUGGCUGUACUUUUGCUUCCUUUGUAAUUGAAAGUUGAUGUGAAUGACGAUAAUGAUAUUAUAAGGAAUCAAGCUGAUCUAAAUGAGGCUCCAUUUUUUUACAUUUAACUCUGGGUUAAUAAAAACAUUUAGAGGAGUCUUUGUUACUAAAAGUGAGCAAGGGAAAUAUGAGAAUUUUAAAGAAGUGGUUCCCAGGGUGAUUUAAGAGGCAGACUCUUCUAUCAAUUGAUGUAGAUAUGUUUAUAACAAAGAAACUAUGGUGUUUGUUAUUUGUACAUCAUCUUAAUAUCUCAACUGAGGAUAUUUAGAUAUGUAUUUAUGUUAGAAACAUUCUUUGCCAAUUAGAUUAUCAUGUAAGGUUUCAUUAGUUAAACUAUAGACAUGGGUGCAAUGAUUCGAUUAUGUAAACGUUCAAAUUGAUUGUUCCAAUUGUAAUUAAAAAUUAAGUGAUGAGUUCAAACGGAAUGAAAUUUCACGAUCAAAUCAAAUGUCGCUAAAGUUCAAUAAUUGCGCAUAUCAACAUGAUUCCGUUUUGACUUUUUCCUCUCCAUUAAACAUUUCUAGUCCUUGGUUUGGCUGCCAACAUCUUAAGGAAUAACUAGGAAUUUGUUUUGUUUAAAGACAAUGCUGGACAGAAAAAGUGAAACAUACUCCUCAACUUCAAGAGAUCAUUCCCAUUGAUGACCUAUUGAUUAGGGCAUUGCUGUUAUUUUGGUCAAAAGUUAUAAUUCGUCAUACUAGUAUAUUUCAUUAUAUAAUACAUAAAAUUAAUCAAGUUUGAAAAUUAGUCUGAAGCACACUUCCUUUAGAUCAUCUUAUAUUUCAAACAUAUACAUUGUUUACUCACUUAACGAGAAUGUUUCAAUACCAAGUUGUACAUGAGACGUCAAUCUUUGAUAUCAACUGAUGUAAAGUAUUGUCCAUGAGCUGUAACUCAUGGAAGAUGUGCAGUAUAUCAAUAUUACCCAGAAUAAAGCUUGAGAAUCUACCCCGAAGUCCACUUCUUUUGAACGAAUUCUCACUUCAAACAUUCUCUUGUAGUACCUAUUUAGUUUUUAUUUUUUUAAGAAUGAAUUUAGGUAAAUAUGUGUAAUAAAAUUUUAACCUACUCAUAUACUUCAUGUCGUUUUCUUUUACAUUGACAAACUGCUUGCUUCUUGUGAUUCACCUUUUCUUUUAUGUUGUACCGUUUCUAUCAUAUUGUGCUUUCUUGACCUUUUAUAUUGCAUACUUUGGAAGAGUGUAAGAGAACUGUUUAGCGGUUUGACAGAUCUUUAGCUACUACUGAUUUCAUAUUAAGAAACAUACAAGAAACAUAAAAAAGGAAGGCAGGAAAGCCGCACAAAAAAUGAUUGUAAAGUUGGGAGCUAGUAUGAGAGUGAAGAAAGAGAUGAAAUGAGAAAGAUAAUGUUAUUAUCAAUAAAGUAAAAUUAGACAUUUUAGUUUUAAAAGACUUUUUCAACCAAAAAAAAAUGAAAAUUACUUUGUUUUUCUUUAUCGCUAGUUAAGGAGUGUUUUGACAAAUUGAGCAAGAAGAAAAAACUCACCAUUGUCCAUAUACCAAUACAAGAAACCAUAAAAAUUUGUUAUUUGUACAUCAUUGUAUACACAACGGUAUACAAAUUGAUGACAUGGAAGAGAAAGAAAGAUUAUAAUAACUGAAUUUCUUUUCUUUCAGUCUCUUUUUUUCGCUCUUUUUUCAUGUUAUCUAUCUGUACAUCAUUAUGUACACAGUGAUGUACAAAUAACAUUAUUCUAUUUGUAGACUGUUGAUCAAAUUGUAUGAAUUAGGCCCCAUUUGAGCUCCACUAAUUUGAAGUAAUGUGUUAUGGAAUGGUGAUUGAUGGAGAAUGUGUGAUGAAAAAAGAAUUGAAAAGUUUUUGAUUAGCAUGAAGUAUUAUUUUAAUAAAUGUGUGGUUGAAAAUGAAUACUGUAGAACAAAUAAUGGGAAAGAAUGUAGAAGAAUGAGGUUUAAUUCCUGUCUCAGUACUUUGCCUUACCCAUGCCUUUUUAAAUUAUCAUAUUAAUUUAUGUAUCAAUACUAUUUUCUAACGUUGUAUUCAUGCCUUUUGAAAUUAUCAUAUUAAUUCGACUUAAUGUAAUGCAUGAGCUUUUUAGUAGUCACCUUUGAGUUAUCUUAACAAAAGAUAUUUAAAUUUUGUAGGCACUAAAGCAGUUACCUCGAGAAAAGGUUCAAUUAGCUACAAAGUUUGGUGUAGCAGGAUUUGAUGCUUCUGGUGUCAUAGUGAAAGGUUCACCUGAAUAUGCUCGCUCUUGUUGUGAAGCUAGUCUGAAGCGUCUUGAUGUGGAUUAUAUCGAUCUUUACUAUAUACAUCGAAUUGAUAAUACUGUGCCAAUUGAAUACACUGUGAGUUUUUUAAUUUUUUAAUGAUUUUACUUGGUGUCGUGUAUCCAUUCUUUAAGUGGCCAUUAACCAUGUUUUCACUUGGCUUGUACUCCUUUUUUUAUCAUGCUUUCCAUUUUACUAACAUGUUUGCUCUUGUUGAUAAAAUUGUAUAUAAAUUGCAGAUGGGAGAACUUAAAAAGUUGGUCAAAGAAGGUAAAAUAAAAUAUAUUGGGUUGUCUGAAGCUAGUCCAGACACAAUAAGGAGGGCUCAUGCAGUUCAUCCUGUUACUGCUAUACAAAUGGACUAUUCCCUUUGGGUUCGUGACAUCGAAGAAGAAAUAAUUCCACUUUGCAGGUUUUUCAUAUUUCUCUAAUAUUUUUGUUGUAACCCUAUUACAAUUUCAGUUGACUCUCUUGGCAAUUAUGUACUUAAAUUGUAACUUAAGGGCUGAUAUUUGAAUUUGAAAUUAAUUUUGCACAACCUCAUCCUAGGAUUAACAUUACAAUGUUGAGCUCCUAUUUUCUAUUAUAAAACUCCAUGUUUUUGUAUUUUUUUUAUUCCUGAAGUUUGCAUUAUUUUUUCUUCCUGAAGUUGAAACUACGAUUAGUUAGAUUUUUGAUCAUUGUGCUUAUAAUAAAAACAGAAAAUAUUUUCCUCCUCUAUCAAUUCUUGAACACCCUGAUUCAUUCUCUUUCAACUACUACGCUUCAAGUUUCUGUAGUUUUUCAUCUUAUUGUUAUGCUUCAUGUUCGGAGAUUAUGAUCUCAUAUAUUGUUUCUUCUUUUUUUUUUUUGGAAAUGGAAAAUAGGGAACUUGGAAUUGGAAUAGUUCCAUACAGUCCCUUAGGUCGAGGGUUUUUUGCUGGGAAGGCCAUCGUGGAAAGUGCAGAUCCAAAUAGCUCUUUGGUGUGUGCAUCUAUAUAUUUUAGAUUUCAUUGCGUAAUAUCUUAUUUAGUAUCCAGGAUCAUGUAGUAGUAUCUUCACUUUUGUAAUCUCCUGUUGAUGAGAAGUUGUUUAAUUUUCGUACCGUCAGACAAGUCACCCAAGGCUUCAGGGAGAGAACUUUGAUAAGAACAAAGUCCUAUAUUUUCGUAUAGAAGCGUUGGCUAAGAAGCAUGGAUGCACUCCUGCUCAACUUGCGCUUGCAUGGGUUCUUCAUCAAGGAAAUGAUGUUGUACCUAUUCCAGGUUAGUCAAUCAUGUAAAAGCCUUAGCGUUAAAAACUAUAGUAGAAACCAUGUUUGACGGAUUGGAAAUGUAGAGUAUUAAAGAAAUUGGAACUAUCUGUUUAAAAAUCUUUGCUGUUACCCUCACAUCAUAUUUAUAUUGAGGCAUUUAAUUCGUUUUUAUGAGCGUAAGAAUAUUCAUAUUAAAAGUAUAUCAAUGUGGAUUGUCUUGGAGAUUUGUGAAUUGAACUGGAAUUGUGACUUAGACUAAGCUAAACGCCAAUUGAAACCAGCCAACCCUCCCCUCCCUGUUUUUCGCUGUAAAAUUGGAAGUCUCUAUUUAGCAUCCCCAUGAAUUUCAGGUACCCUCAUUAUGGAUGGGGUUGAAAACCAACAUUCUUUUUCAUAGAUAUCUAAUUACGUAACUCCUUUUCUUUUUACCCUUUCUUUCAAGGAAAUGGAAGGGAUAGAAUGAGAGUAAAAUUAUCGCAUGCUCGUGCAGUUUUUUGUUAAUUCAGGAUUAUGAGAUGGGAAAGAAACAGAGGUCUCGUCACACGUGAAUAACUGUACAAAUAUGCCUAUAAUAUUGGAGUAUGAGAUGAUCGUCCCUGCCCUUUGGAAGUUCAUGUACUUGAGUAUGAGAUGAUCAACCUUUCCCUCGUCUUUCAUGAGUCUUUUAGUUUCUUAUUUAGAUAUCAGUAUGCUUCUUGGAGGUGUCGAGAUAUACAUACGAGCUUGUAAAUCUCUUCAGAGUUAUUUUUCUCUUAAUUUUCCACCAUAUUUAUGUGCGUAGGCCUUAUAAUUAACAGCCAUUUGGGCCAUUUCACCCUAGAUAGGGAGAUUAGGAAAGACGGAUCGUUAAGUGAGAUUACUCUGGAAAAUUGUUAUUAUUUGCAGAUGCUGUAAAAUAAUUUUCUCCGAAAUCAUACAUGCAAUGGAUGCCAGUGAAAUGUGCAUUAUAUCGAUAUCAUGAAUUUGAUUGUUUUUAAUGAUAAUUUAUCUUGCCAAUCUUGAAAUAUUGGUGUAGGUACGACCAAAAUUAAGAAUCUUCACGAUAAUAUUGGUGCUCUGAAAGUGAAGCUUACAAAAGAAGAUUUGAAAGAGAUUACUGAUGCGGUUCCCAUCAAUGAAGUAGCUGGGAUGAGAAGUUCUAAUGAUGCUUUUCAUCGGAUCACGUGGGAAUUUGUGAGGACACCACUCCCAAAAUGAACCAGUUAAAUGGAUAAUAUUUGUAUAUUAUGUUUUGAAAGAUCUUUGUCGUAGUUGUGUUGAUAUUUCCCGCAGUUUCCUUUGCACACUUCUAAUUCCCUUUUGUACUUUUCCCAUGUCAUUAGCUUGUGUUGCUGAUCACGAAUAAUAUAUUGCGUGGCUAUUUAAUAAUUGAACCCUUCUCUUCUUUUUUACCAGCUUAACAUGUUAUGGUCAUCUUAUUAAUCAAAUUAUUUUAUAAUUUUUAUUCCUUUUGUCUGAGUAGACUUUCUAUCUAUGCAGCUUGUAGGUACAUGUUUAAAAUGCCAAAUGCCAACCAUCAGGAGGUUGGUUCUCCGUAAUGGAAGGACUUUUUUUAUGCAUGAAAUUAACACACUUGUUACACGAAAAUGAACAAAUUUAUUAACUAAUGCUGUUUCAUUAUUUCUCUUCAAACAAGAAAAAGAAAUAUUUAACUUGAUCGUGUCCUACAUUAUUGAAAUUUGCAGAAUUUUGAGUUGCUAUUUGCUUUUAUUUGAUUUUAAAUAUAGUAUUUAACGAAUAUGAUUGUUAUCUUAGUGAAUUAAAUGGCCGAGUUACAAGUGUAUAUGCUUGGUUAUUUUUUGUAUUUCAAUGAAAUGUGUGAAUUGUUUAUUUUCUGUUUUUUGGAUUUAUAUAUGAAACUUACAGGAUGUGUAAUUUUUACGUAAUCUGGUAAGAUAAUCGUGACAUUGGGUGUUUAUUUAUUCGUCUUUAUGUUGUUUUUGAGCGAUGUAGAUUACUUAUUUCAAACUUCUCUGAUUCAAUACCCAAUUUUCUUCCAGUUUUUUGGAAUUAUAAUUCCACUUGCAUAUGUAAUUACUACUAUUAGGCUAUGGUUCGAAUAUAGUUACAUAAUUCAAUGAAUUGCAUUGAUUUCUUCCUAAUUAAAUGUGGAUAAUUGUUAUUUUUAUUUUUUAAAGAGACAAGAUUAGCUUUUUAUUUGUUUGUUUACAUUCUUUUUUGAGUUAUGCGAGAAAUAUAUUGAAUUUGGAAUUGCAUCAUUUGUUGUUAUACCUGAAAGUGAUAAAUGUACACAAGUCAAGCUUGUGAACAUGAUACGUUCGAAGGUGAUAAUAAAAUUAAAGUGUCAAGUCAAAAAUAGGUCCAAUGAUGAUUUCAGAUACGUAAUCGGUAGCUUUUUAAUUGUAGCUUAAAAUGAUUCACGAGCUUUCUAGUGUGAGUAGAACUUGAACCUCUUUUAAAUAUAGAAGUGAAUGGAUCUUUUCUGAACGAGGUCGGCCCUAAGCCAAGGGCAACUAGGCAAUGGCUUAGGGUCUCAUAUUUAAUGGGGGCCUCCAAAUAAAAACCGUGGUAGAAGUCCAAUUAAAUUAUUAUAAAUUUAAAAGAUGGAUUAGUUAAAAAUUUAUUUAACAAUAAUUUAUUUGGUUGAUUCUAACUUAGUUCAAUCUUAUUUAAAAUAAAUUUUUCUUGAGUUUAGCAUAAAUGAUUAAUUACAAGUUAUCAAACGAGUCUAAUAUUAUUAUGGUAAUAUGAUUUAAUUUGAAAAAUAAUAUUACACAUUCAGUAAUUUACUUUAAUAAGUUAUAAUUUGAAUUUGAUUUAAAAUAAUUUUUUCAUGAGUCCAUAAUGUCCAUAAUAUGAUUUAUUAAAAAUAACUUGAAUUUGCUACUUUAUCUUUUAAAUCGUACCAAGUCUUUGUUUAAAAUGUAAAUAUAUGAUUUAUUUAAAUAUUCAAGUAUUUUUACGAAUGUAAAUUUUCUCUACGUUUAAGGGCCUCAUAAUAAUGAGUUGCUUAGGACCUCAAAAUUCUCAAGGUCGGACAUCAAAAUUCUCUGGGCUGGUAGAACAUGAUUGGGAGUGGGUUAUCAAAUUUUGAAUUUGAUGAUGGACGAGUCACUCUCAAAUUACCGACGAUUGAAGAUGUUGGUUUUAAGGCUAUGUGAAAGGCAUACCAGAUCUCGUGACCGACGCUGUCUUGUUCUUGUUAUAAUGUAUAUAAAUUUUUGAAAUUGUAACGCAUACUAUGUGAUAAUCCUCAUUCUGAGAAUGUAAUUUUUAACUAUUUAAUUUGAAAGUGUUAGUUCAAUUAUAAGUUACAAGGACUGAUAUAGUGGCUGAUUUUUAAAUUUUUCUAUAAUUCAUGUACGAACUAUGUAAUGAGAGCCUCUCCAAUUGUCGUGUAAAAUAGAUAUAAAUUGUGAUUUGGAAUUUUGGAUCAUCAAAGUGAUCAAAAACCACUCCAAUGGAGAGAUGCAAAGGAAAUGCAUAUUGCACAAAUAGAAAACGUUUUUUUUUUUUUUUUUUAAAAAGUACAUUUUUUUCUUUUUUUUUGAAUCCAUUUCAAUCAAACAUUUUUCAAUAAAAUAAUAUUACAUGCAAAUUCAAAAUUUUUCCUUAUUUUCCAUCAAUAUACUAUUCAAAAAUACAUUUUUUGGCAUUUAAAAAAAAAAAAAAUUUUUUUUUUUUUUUUUUUAAAAAGUACAUUUAUAUCUCUUUUUUUUUUUUUUUACAUCCACAAGAGGCAAAAAAUUGAUUUUGAUCUUUUCAUUGUAGCAAAAUUUGAAUUUAAAUCCAACGGAAUGUAAAUGACGAUGCAAAUAUAGUUUUGAAAAUACAAAUUUACACACAAUUUUACACCAAAAUUGAAUACGUUCUAACCAUAUUAGUUCCCAUGCUUUAGUUGUGUAAUUCAUAUUACAAACCAUAAUCAUAUUACAUGAUUGCAUUAUUAGUUUGUUAAUUAUAAAAUUAAAGGUAAUUGUAAUUGCGAUCAGGUGUCUCUCUUUCGCCAAUAAAUACUCGUAUUUAGUGUAAUUUGAAGACAAUUACAAUUUUGAUAAUUUUUUCUCCAUUACAAACUUGAUUCCCAUAUUUUCUCCUCCUCUUAGCAUUACUCCUGCAUUCAAAUUAUAACUGUUCCUUUGACUAACUUGAGCGUUGUAGCGUGCAGCAUCGAAGUCCCCCGCCUCAUUUUUUAUGUUUGGAGAUGCUAUGAUCAUGCGCAUCUAAUGUGUAUAUUCCAAGUGCACAAGUAACAUAUCAGGAGAGAGGAGUAGAGUCAAGAUUUAUUGACGAGCUGUGUCAUUAUUAGAUUCUGAGGUCAGUAAUAAAAGAAAAUAAUGGUGUACUAUAAGUUUGUAACUAGGUUGAAACAAAAAUACUGUCUUGUUGAUUUUAUUUGAUCUCACGAUUAUUGUUUUGCUUCUACUAUUUCUCUUGAUUUGAAUAUAUUGAUAAAUAUUAUAAUUAGAAACAAAGAAAAAAAUGAAAAAGAGAGAGACGCCUACACGGCUCAUGAAAAAAGAGAAGGAAAAAAGAAAAAAGGGAUUAUUGAAGGGAAAAGAAAGAAAAAUUUGACCAGUCAUCUUGAUUUUUCGUGUACCCAUUAACCGCAAUUCACACGUGCCCUAAUACAUGUGAUCAUUAGAAAGUAAAGAAAAAUGGAAAGGAGGAGGGACAUGUGGGUGGUCUUGGUUUUGCGUGUUCAAAUUAGUGAUUGUUUAGAUAUGAAGUCCAAGAAAGAUUCCAUUUGCCUCCUUCAAUAAUCUUUAUUUUCAUACCAAAGUGACCAAUUGCUUUUAGAACUUUUAUUAAAGUAGGGGUUUGAAUUUCAUUCCUCCAUCUUGGAGUCACUUUUCAAUUAAAUUAGUAAAAGUUAAAACUAAAAUUUAUUAUGGUUGUAAAUUAUUUGAUUGCAAUGUAUCAUUAGAUUGCUUGGUGGAACAAGUGAUGAAAAUUACUUAGGAGACAAAAUUUAGUUAUUGUUAUAAUUAUUUUCAAUGAUGAGGUGAAUGACAUGAGCCAUGUUUCAAUUUAAAUAUUUUAACGUUUGAGCGACAAAAUAUACAAUUUCUAUUGUUAUAACUAUUUUCAAUGAUGAGGCGAAUGACAUGAGCCAUGUGUCAAUUUAAAUAAUUUAACUUUUGAACGACAAAAUAUACAAUUUCUAUCAUACGGAAGUAUGCUAGAAAGUUUUUGAUAUGUCGCAUAUUAACUCCAACUCCAGGUGGAAUUUACCCUCGAAGUAGUGGAAGCCUAAAAUUCUUCAAUUUUUCAUGGGAUAAUUACACUAUAAACUCUCAUCUUUCAAAAUUUUACAUUUACUCUCAACUGUGUUUAAUUUUCCAAAUACUGUAAAAUUCACACACACACAAAAAGGUCUAGGAGCACAAGUGACAAAGAGGGAGAAAUUUUUGUGAUCUAAUACUCUGGAUGACAGUAGAGAACUCUAAUGGCAAUGUGUUUAUGUGUCAAUUUGUUUUAUAAGUUUCUAAUUAUUAUUUUCACAAUUCAGUUGUUUUCACCGUGAUAAGGUCAUUGUUCUUCAAUUUCGAACCGGGGUAGGUGCAUUUGAAUCGAAGUUUUGGCAUGUAUGAUAGGAAUGAUGGCUUAAUGAAUUGUGGAUAUGAUUGUAGAUUAGUGAUGGUAGAUUUUAUUGGUUGUGAAGAUUUUAAUAUAUAUUGAGAAUAGAAAAGAGUUCCAUGUUUGAAUCUCAUUCCAUUACAUUCAAUUUUUUCUCUCAUAUUUUCAACUACACAAUAUUUUAUAAAAUAAUAUUACACGUAAAUCGAAAAUAUUUUUUUCUUUUUCAACCACUUAUUUUUUUAAAAAAGCUCUAUUCGACCAAUUUUUAUUUCCAAAAAUGGGGGACAAACGGGGGCUUAAAAGUAAGUAUAGAUUUAGGCAUUGUUUGAACCCCAUUAUUUUCUUAUUAAAAUGAAAAAUAUAACCGUUAUUCAUUACAUCAAAUCACCAUAUUUGACUUUUUAUCUUUUGUGUAGGACCCAUAACAACUAUAUUUUUCAUUCUUAUUUUUACUAUAAUGUAGCUCAAACGGGAGCUCAGUAAACCUUUUAAAGAGUAGGGGGGUCACUGGGAGAAGAAGAUGAUUUAUAUAUAAUUUAUUUUUGAAAAGAUUAGGGACUCUUAAUGCAAAUUUUCCUUUAUUUGUGGGAAACGAAUCCCCUCUGCUGCUAUUAGCCAAAGGAAGUUUUGAUGUCAAUCCUUCAACGAGCUCUUUGCAUUGUGAAUAUUGUUGUAGCAAAGUCACUGCGAUUAAAUGCCAUUUUUAUAUAUUGCAUAAUGAAGGGAUGGGACAUCUCACUCUUUUUUAUUUUAUUUUUUAUGUGUUUAUUUGAAGGGGUAGAUAAAUUCGUUAGUUACUUUGGUUUAUACGAAAUUUAAUGAGAAAGUUCCGGUUCGGUCCCUAUUUUUUUUAAAUUUUGAAAUUUGGAAUAAUAUUUUUUUGAAAAAAGUGUGGUUGAAAAAGAAUGAAAUUUUUUUAAUUUUCGUAUAUUAUUAUUUUAGGAAAGAUUGAGUGAUUGAAAAAAAAAAGAGAAAAAAAAAAAGAGACUGACGUAAUCCUUGAUGUCGGAAAAGAAAAAUAUUAUGAUGAUAAAUUAAUAACAUGAGGCAAAAAUAUGAGACCACAAUGUUAAAAUUGUGGGUCAGGUCCCCACAACCACGCUGGCGAAGAGACUGACGUAAUCCUUGACGUCGGCAAACCAAACUUUACCUUCCCUAUAUAUAUUAACGCGACCGUGCUGGAUCUUCAUCAACUCGCUAAAAGAAGCACAAAUUUGAUCUGAUAAGCAAGAAGAAAGUUAGACAUGGCCGAACAAGUUGAAAUGCCGCGAGUAAAACUCGGAACCCAAGGACUUGAGGUAUGUAAUAUUCUUUUCUUAAUUCAUUCGAUUUAAUUUGUAAAUCCCAUUUGAAUUUUUGUUUUCGGCCGGAUCCAACGACCAGUGACCUUUCUGAAUCAAAUCUCUGCACAACUUUGCACUUGCGUUUCAUCACGGAACGGAGUGAAUUUUGUGGACCUCUUACAUAUUUGUCUGGGUACUGGUAAAUAAGCGUACCAAUUUAAUUAUUAAUUUGUCUGGAUACUGAUAAAGAAGUGGAAAAAAGCCAUUAAAACUGCCCACCCUCCAGGCGCCCCUGUUUCCAAGCCUGUUUUUGGGCCUGUCCCAAAAGCAGGGCUGAAAUAAGCACCUAUUUGUCAUCUAUUUUCUCCUAUUUUUUUCAUUAUUUUUUUUACAGAACUAAUUUUCAACCACAAAUUCUUCAUUAAAAUAACAUUACACGUGAAUAAAAAAAAAUUCAUUUCUUUUUUAAUCACACAUUUCAACAUCAAUUACUAUUCCAUGAUACAUUCUUCCCCAAAUAGUGUACCAGUUUAAUUAUUAACAUAUGGAAAUAAGGUUCAAGAAAAAAGGACAGAGAAUCUGUUAAAAAGCCUGAUGUAAAGUUAUAGAAAUAUUACUUAGAAUUUGAAGAAAAUCCAAUAUUGAAUCACUUGCAGUUGUUUUCUCAAAGAUGGGACACUCAUUUUUGUCCAAAUACUUUUACAUUGAAUAACACAAGAUUCCCACAAUCGACGAUAAUUUGUAUAGGGAUAUGGGUAAUGGGUGCAAAUUGAUCGGCAAAUUCUGCAACCAUUAAUUAGUUUUCUUCAGAUAAUGUUUUCUUGAAUCUUAUUGCGCUUCAUCCAGUGAUAUAUAUUUUUUAUGGCAUGGUAGGUAUCAAAGUUAGGUUAUGGUUGUAUGGGGCUUACUGGAAUCUACAAUGUUCCUGUUCCCGACGAGGAAGGAAUUGCAAUAAUCAAAGAGGCAUUUAGUAAAGGCAUUACAUUUUUUGACACAUCUGAUAUUUAUGGUGCGAACAAUGCCAAUGAAUACUUGGUCGGAAAGGUAAUUUCUAAGAUACUUAUUUUAGAUUAAAGCAGCACACUUGAAUUUAUAUGCUGGCAACAUACUUUUUCUUCUUUAGUGGUUGUAAGAUGAUGGGAACUACAUAUUUAAAUUCCAAUUUCUUCGAUAAACUGCAGCAUGUUAAGGGAUAAAAAUCCCACAUCGGUUAAGUACCGAAAUAUUGAGUAACUUAAAAAGAUUUUGGACUCCUCCUCUUAACAAGGUUGACCUUAUUAAGAUGGACCUCAAAUCUCCAUUAAGCUCCAACCAACGAUUCGAUUCAAUUAUAAAUCUCAAUUAAUGAGCAACGGAUUGUAAGAUUGGUCUGUUCAAACGAGUCACCAUCUUGCGGAAGCAUAUUAAGGGAUGAAAAUCCCACAUCAAUUAAAUAUUGAAAUAUUGAUCAACUUAAAAAAAUCUUGGACUACUCUUCUUAAUAAGAUUGACUUUAUUAAGAUGGAUCCCAAAUUUUAACAUAACACAAGUAUAUGUUAGUAUGGUGCGCAAAAAAAAAAAAAUGGAUUGUAAAUUUAGCUUCUUUUUUUUCUGAACUUAAUUGCAUUUAAUCUAAUUCUGUGCUGCUUUCGGCACUGAAGCUUCCAAGUCACUGACUUGAAAGUUGUAAUGGUUAUGCUGAACAGUAUAUUACUUUUUUUUUUUUUUUUUUUCAUAAAUUUAAAUUCCAAUUUUCAUCAUUUAUAUAAACUAAAGCAUCAAAAUCUGAUAUAUAUGGCCAACUAUAGGUUUUUAGGAUUCUAGGUUUGAUUCAUUUGUAUAGGUUUGUCAUUUGUUUUUCUAGUAUAAAAUCAGGUCUUCCAUUUACUUAUUUGACUCCGCAAUAGUAAUAACUAUAAGAGAAGAGAUUCAAUGGUAAAGAGAAUUAUAGACAUGACAGCUUUCUUGAAUUUAUAUUACAAAGUUACAAUAUGUGGAGAUGCUAUUCUUUGGAAAGGUGAUAUAAAUUUUGUUUUAAGUUACUCUUCAGUUAUAUUUAACUUCAGCUUUCAGUAUCGAACCAUGAGAUAACUGUUGAUUGAAAACAACUAAAAGUAACACAUAAGCAUUUAUUAUCACAUUUGAGUGAACUUACUUAAGACAUUCAAUUGCUGCAGGCAUUAAAGCAGUUACCUCGAGAAAAGGUUGAGUUGGCUACAAAAUUUGGUGUAUUUAAAAUUGGGGGUCCUGAAGUCAUAGUAAAAGGUUCACCUGAGUAUGUCCGUUCUUGUUGUGAGGCUAGCUUGAAGCGUCUUGACGUGGAUUAUAUUGAUCUCUACUACAUACAUCGGAUUGAUCAGACUGUGCCUAUUGAAGAGACGGUUAGUUUUUCUUAUAUACUUUUAUUUGUGAUAUUGUUCUUAUAUAGCCAUUUUGAUUAGUGUCCAUUGACCUCAUUUUCUCUUUUUUGUAUUCGUCUUUCUUAACACGCUUUCUAUAUCACUUAAUAUUACGUUUUGAUGAUAAACUUGUUUAUGAGCUGCAGAUGGGAGAACUAAAAAAGCUAGUUGAAGAAGGUAAAAUAAAAUAUAUUGGGUUAUCUGAAGCUAGCCCAAACACAAUAAGGAGGGCACAUGCAGUUCAUCCUAUUACUGCUAUACAAAUGGAAUAUUCCCUUUGGACUCGUAACAUCGAAGAAGAAUUUAUUCCACUCUGCAGGUUUUAAUUAUUUCUCAAAUAUUUCUAUUAUAAUGCUGAUUGUUCAAAAUAUUACAUUUUAGGCAAAAAAUUUUGGCAAAUCAAAUUUUAAGAGGGUGAAAGCAGAUGUUGGAAUCUCAUAUUUAUUUUUUCACGACAUAAAGUACUUGAUGUCAUUCCUUCUUCAACUAACAUUGCAAUGUUCAGUUCCUAUUCUCCAAUAUAAUAGUUCGCGUUUGUGUACUUCUCUUGUUGAUGUGUUAAACUUGUAUUUUUGAUGGGUUAAAUACAGUCUUACUUAGGGUUUUGAUAAUUAUUGCUUUUGAUGAGGAUGCUAAAAGUUCUUUUCUUUCUUUCUAACAAUUUUUGAAUGCCCCAAUUCAUCUUUUUUCCAUUACUAUUCAUCAAGUAUGUGUAGUUUUUAUCUUAUCGUUCUCCUCCCUGUUCAAUAAUAAUGUUCUCAUAUAGGAUUUCCUUUUCUUUUUGGAAUGGUUUAUUAGGGAACUUGGUAUCGGAAUAGUUCCAUACAGUCCAGUGGGCCGAGGGUUUUUUGCUGGGAAGGCCAUAGUGGAGAGCUUGGCCCCAAGUAGCAGACUGGUUCGUAUGCUUCCUGUCUUUUAAUUUUAGACAUGUAAACUCUACCUUGGAAUCCAAGAUGAUUUAGUAGUUUCUUCAUUUUAGUUAUCUGUACUUGCUGAAUCGUCGCCUGAUUUUUGUACCAUCAGGCACAUCACCCAAGGUUUACAGAAGAGAACUUAGAUAAAAACAAAGUCAUUUAUUUUCGUAUUGAAGCAUUAGCUAAGAAGCAUGGAUGUACUCCUGCCCAACUUGCGCUUGCAUGGGUUCUUCAUCAAGGAGAUGAUGUUGUACCUAUUCCGGGUAAGCCUGUUCAUAUUUAAUUUGCAUUAAAUAUGGUAGGGUUUGAUGAGAGUUUGGCGUACUUAUUUUGUUAUACUUGAAAUAUUGUGAUUACUUGUCAAUGUUGUCAGAGAUUUUAUGCAAAACCGCAUAGUAAUGGAUAGUAACUAAAACAUUUAUUAUCAUAUUCACUCCAUGGAUUGUUUUUAUUUUAACAGUAACAUGCCAUUCAACUUGCAACAUUGUAGGUACGACUAAGAUAAAAAAUCUCCACGAUAAUAUUGGUUCCGUGAAAGUGAAGCUUACAAAAGAUGAUUUAAAAGAGAUCUCUGAUGCAGUCCCCAUCGAUGAAGUGGCAGGGUCAAAAUCUGACAGCGCUAUUGGUCGGGUCAAUGCGCAAUUUGCCGAUACCCCACCCCCAAAAUGAACAUUGCAAGAUUGUUGAUAAAUCUUUGUAUGUUAUGUUUUCAAAUGUGGGCUUCUGAUAUUUGUAACAAUUUUGUCGUAGACAUAUUGCUACUACUCUUGGUUCAAUAAUGCAAGUAAUGUUUCUCUUCAGUCACUAGGGUUGUAUCAUGAACUAUGAAUUAUCGAUAAAUUAUUAGUAAUUUUUUUUUUAAAGAAUAGUUGGUAGAUAAUUCAGUCAGGCGUGGAUUGCAUAUUUUGGCAUGAUAUAUUACACUUUUGUGUCUAUUUAUAUAUUUGUAAUUAAGGCCAUAUGAUCAAUAAAAAAUCUUUAAACAAGUUCUUCAUAAAUUUUCUCCCGAAUAUGGGUAUUUCAUUGUUGUUUACUAGUGACUGAUGCAACUCAAUACUCAUUGACAAUAGCAAAGAAGAAAAAUGGUAAAAUAAAAUGUAGUUCACCACCAUAGUUAUUUACAUUAAUUCCUUUAUCUUGUGCAUUGAACUUUUCAAGUUGCAUUGUUGGGAAGUUGCCAUAAAGAACCAAAAUUAGAAAAGGCAUCAAUUCCUUAAUGGAAUAACGUUGUCCAAGAAUUUUUAGAGAAUGAAUUGAUCAAGCCUUUCGUUACACGAUCAACCACUUUUGAUAUUAUUAAAUGUUUUAGAGAAAAAUCUUAUUUUUCAAAAUAACGCAGAACAAAACUUUUAAUCCACAACGAUUUUUCUCGAAGUGGGCAUUGUUAAACCUUACAAAUUUUGAACCCAUCGUAACGUUGUUUGAUCUAUAGCUCACGCCCUUGCUUAAGCAAUAAAGAGGCUGUUUUAAUUCUUCUCUCUUUCAAAAAGUUAAUCAAAAGAACAAAAAAUAAAAUAUGGGAAUGACACCAAAAAGUAGUUUUCCAUCGUAAUGCUUUUCACAAGUUAUUCCUUUAACAGAUAAGGGCAAGAGGACAUGUGGGGUUGCAGACUAGCCUAAAAAUCCAAUUCAACUUGCUUUUAUGCCAAGUGUAUGGACCUUAUAUAAGGAGAGUGAGUGGUGUCGAAAUCGGUGCUUAGAUACUUCAACAUCAUAGAUGGCCAUGGGCCACCAUUGGAUUGGGUGGAAUUAGUUUUGUUCAUGCUGAUUCAUUAUUGCUCCAAGGAUAAACCAUGACAUUGGCUACUUAAUAAGAAAAAUCGUCAUAAAAUUUUAGUCAAAAAUACUAUGGUAAAUUAAGAUGGAUAUUAUUAUGUGGUUGUCAACUUGCGGUUGCAUGGAUUCUUCAUCAAGGAGACGAUAUUGUACCUAUUUCGGUAAGCCCAUUCAUAUUCUAAUCUUGCUUUAAAGUUUGAUAAGACUUCGGCAUACUUAGCUUGGGAAAUUGUGAUUAGUUAUAUAUAUUUUUAGAAAUUUCACUCGAAUUGAUGAUGAGUGACAUGUAUAUUAUUAUAUUGAUCUCCUAAGUUGUUUUAAUCUUAAUAUUUACAUAUCAUUCGAUCUUGUAAUUAUAGGUACAAUCAAAAUAAAAAAUCUUCAUGAAAAUAUUGAUUCUGUGAAAGUGAAAGUUAAAAAAAUUAUUUUAAAAAGAUAUCUAAUGCAGUCCUUGUCAAUGAAGUGACAGGCAUUGGCGGACCCACGGUGGGUCAAAUGACUCAUUGUGGAUCUUUUGCAAAGUUGAGCGAUCAUUUGGACUAUUAUCCCUUAUUUAUAUAUUUCUACGCGAGGCCAUAUGAGGUCUUUGAAAGAUGUAUGUGAUCAAUAAAAAAAUGAUGGAAAAUAUGCUAUGCAAAAAUUUGUCCAUAGUGGAAGAAUGCAAUUUUUUGGUUUUUUAUUUUUUAUUCAAUGUACAAGGAAUAUUUAAAUUUUAAAGCUCUUCGAAUGAUUAGUUAAACUGAUGUGAUUAUUGUUCGUUAGAUUCUUUAACAUUUUUUUUUUCUGUGAAUUAAUGAUCUAGUUAAAUUAUUCUUUUUUAAUUUUACUUUGUCAUGAAAAGAUUCAUGUUUAGAUUAAGAAUAAUGCUACGUAGCCCGAUGGAGUUGCAAUCCCAAUCUAGUUGGCACUAGAUGAUAGGGUGAAUGAAAUAUAAAAUUAAAUGAUUUAUUUAAUUUCACAUAUUGUUUAAUACUACAUUAACGCCACUAGACUGAGAUUUUAAUUUCAGUGAGACUAAGCAUUACUCUUAAAUUAAAUAGGGCUCUCUCUUUCUCUCUCUCCUUCCACCUUUUAUUCUACUGUUUUUGGAUUUCGUGUUUGCUUUGGUUAAGCUACAUUUCGAUUUUGAUGUUACUUGUUGAAAAAUUUCUAACAUCCUAAGAAUCUUUACAUACUUGAAGUUUCAUAUCUAAAGCGAUGGAGUUCGGAAGAAUUUGAAAUUCUGAUAUGAUUUUAGUAAUAGCAGUGCAAUUUUUUCUACCAUUAUAUAUUCUUUUCUGUUAAUAUGUGGGUGUUUUUUUUCUUUUUUUCAAAACCAUUAAAUUUUGUUCUUGCUUGAAGACAUGUUUACUUUUAUCCAUCACACUGGUUUUCAUUUAGCGAAUAACAGUAUAGUAGAUAACUUAGAAUUUUAUGAUUAGUCUACUAUUGUUAGCAGGGGCGGAGCUGCAUGGAGUCCAAUGUAGGCCACUGCCUGCACUGAACUUUCAGAAAAAACUGGAGCUCUCAUGAAGUUGCCUGGAUUUUGAGAAAACCUGGACAAUUGAUUCUUCAUUUGGGAUUUUGUUUUUAUGGUAUGAUUCUAAGGCCUUUAUUUGAUGAAUCUAAGUCAUUUACCAAUCAAAUGUUUGAAUUCGCUCACCCAUAUAUAUAUAUAUAGACACACGCACACACACGUGUGUUGGCUGUGUAAGUUAAUGAAUGUGAGGGAGCGAGGGGGAGAGAGAGCGAGAGUGCACAAGUGUGUGAAAGAUAGUGAGUGGAGAUAAUUGAGAGAGAGAGCGAGAGGGAGGGCACGUGUAUGUGAAAGUAAGCGAGAGAGUGCACAAGUGUUAGAAAGAUAGUGAGUGGAAAUAAUUGAUAAUUGAUUGCUGUGUAUGUGUGGAGUUUUUUUACACAUUUGAGAUAAAAUUUGUGUUAAGUUUAUUCCUUAAAUAAAAUUCCAUUUGAUUUGGGAUUUAAAUUCAACAUAUGCCUGUGUAAAGAAAUAUAUUAUUGUAUUAAAAAAAAAACCAAUGCACUAACUGGACCAAAAGGAAAUAAUUGAUAAUUGAGUGUUGUGUAUGUGUGGAGUUUAUUUACACAUUUGAGCUAAAAUUUGUGUAAGUUUAUUUCUUAAAUAAAAUUCUAUUUGAUUUGGGAUUUAAAUUCAACAUAUAAAUGUGUAAAGAAAUAUAUUGUUGUAUUAAAAAAAAAAAAAAAAAACAAAUGCACUAACUGGACCAAAAAUUUCCUUUUUAAUUUUACAUGAUCUAAUGGGAGUACACUCCAUUCAAAUCCUCACGUCUCCAUAAUUAGAGCUCAUAUCUAGAUUAAUUACAAAAUAUCUUUCCCUAUUUUAUACCAAACUCGAACCUUCAAACUUUUUUGAGAAUUCAUCUCCAUCUUUAUAUGAAUAUUAAAUCAAAGUCACAAUAGUUUUUUGGUUAAAAAAUUUCAUUGUAGUUGUUCAAAAUCUCAUGUUUUCUUAUGCGCUAGGAUUUAUAAAGAUUAUGCUCAUGUUUUCUUAUGAACCAGGAUUUCCUAAGAUCACGUGAAAUUCUUUUCGUGAAAAGAAUAAUUGACCAAAAAAAUCAUUGUAGUCGAUUUCUAAAAUUACGCCCGCACGCUCAGAAAAAUAUUAAAUUUGCAGACGCAUCAAAAGUGUGAAACCAUGGAAAAAAAAAUUAUUCCUUGGAGUCAAUAAUUAUAUAUGGUGGAUAAUAUUUUAUAGAUUGAAUUCUUUUUGAUUGUCUAUUUUUAAUAAGAGAUAUAAAUAUAGAACAUGUGUCAUAUUUACGUGUGAAGAGAUAUAAAUAUAAAAUGUGUUUCAUAUGUACGUGUGAAGCAACAUAUUAUCAUAGUUAUUAAAAUCGGAUCGGAUGUCCGAGUGAUUUAAUUGAUUAAGCAAGCAUAUGAAUCGGUCAAGAAUCGGUUAAACCAUUAACCAACCCUUUGUACCAAACGAUUUUAGGUGGAACCAGAUCCGGUUCAAUGUGUGAAUCGAAUGGCUACUAAAUUGAAGUAAAAUUUUAUGUUAAAUUUGCUAAAAAGCUUUGUUUCGAACUUUGGCAACAAAGGAGACAUCUUACUCUAUGACCACUAUGGCAACUAAUGGUCCUUAAUCAUCUAAUGUGAGCAAUAUAUAUAUAUAUUAGAUUUCGAAAAAUGGUUUCUUUUUUUCUUUCAAAAAUAUAAUAUAAUUAAAAUUAAAGUCUAAUAAUAAUCCCCCGAUUGAAUUGCUGAUCCACCGAUUGAACCAUUGACUCGAAGAUUUUUUCGGAUCUACCACUGAGCAGUGAGUAUGGUCUAAUAUCUAUGCAUAUUACCAUUGAUGCAAAAUUGACAUGUGGUCUAAGAUAAGAUAAGGAAGAUAUUUAUAGAUAGAAAUUGGCAAGUGGCCUAAAAUAAAAGAAGAUAUUUAUGGAUAGGGUCAAAGUGUCAAGUUUUGAUUUAAUUUGGCCCUUGAUCAAACAUGGAUGAAUACACACCUAUAAAUGAGUGUUACUCAUCAACAUGAUGACGAACAUUUUAUACCCAUAUGAUAUAGAAUUUUGAAUAAAUGAGUUUGUAUCAAAUGAUUUAUUAUUGUUGUUAUUAUUAUUAUUAUUUUUUGGAAAAUACUAAAAAUAAAAUAAAAAAUUCAUGAAUCCUUGCAUAUUUUAUUCAGAGAAUCCAUAAUUGAGAAUGAAUUCAUAAAAAAUAAGUUUUAGAAAAAGGGUACUUACAAGGCUUAAUGUAGCUGAAGAGUCCUUAAGCCCCCAUUGGACCCCUAUUAAUUCUCAUUCUAUUCCAUUUCAUUUUUCUCCCUUCUUCUUUCAACAACACAAUUUUCCAUGCAAUAAUAUUAUACGUAAAUGAAAAAUUUUUCAAAAAAAUACAAUUUUCAUUUACACAAAAUGGGGGCCAAACAGGGACAAAUAAAUGUUUAAUGUCUAAAAAGGUGAAGGCAUGCUACUUGGACAUGGAGGUGUCCAAAUAGGGGGCGAUGUGGCGCCCAUAUCGGCGCAAUAGAUCCAAGAAAACAAAUUCAAAUAAGGGAAUAAUUUGCUUUGGCAUUUAAUCAUGAAGAAACAUGAUAUAUAUCAAUGUCCUACAUUGCCCCCUAUUGGCGCAAUAGAUGCAAGAAGAAAAAUUCAAAAAGGUAAUAGUUUGAUUUGGCAUUUAAUCAUAAAGAAACACGAUAUAUAUCAAUGUCCUAGAAUGAUAUGAAUGCGUUUAAAUAUACACUUAUUUUACAUACCAUCUCAUAUUUAUCAUUUUGAAUAUCGAUAAAAAAGAAUUUAAUAUAAAAGUACCCAUAAUCAUAGAUAUUUUUUUUUGUCAAAUAAGUAAUUUUUAAAAAUAAAAAUACCAUGAUCAUAGAUGUUUUAAUGUCCCUUAAAAAAAAAAAAAAAACUCUUGAGCCUCAUUUUUUUAUUAAAAUAUAUUUUUCAACAGUAUUUGACUCCAGUUCGACUACACAUUAUUUAAUAAAAUAAUUUACAUGUAAAUUCAUGACUUUUUUUAAUCACACAUUUUGAUCCGUACAAUAUUUAAAAAUGCUUCUUCUUUUUUUUUUUUAUUAUAAAAAUAGAUCUAGGGCUAAGUGAAAAGCGAACUCGCUUACGUCAGCCAUGUGUAAUGGUGUCUAUAGAUAGGCUCAAUUGCUGGACACUAGAGCCAUCUCACUGAAAGCAGCACUGUCUAGUUCAAAGAUAGAGAAGAAACUUUCGCAAUGGCUGAACAAAUCGAGAUGCCGCGCGUGAAACUUGGAACCCAAGGACUCGAGGUAUAUGUUAAAUUUGAUUAAUUCAGUUUCGGAUUCGAUUCAAUUUGUAGAUCUGAAUUGAAUUUUUUCUAUACCCUAUAAAACAUGUGAUCUUUCGGUAACCUUACCGAUUAUUGCUUAGAAUCCUAAAAACAACCCAUUUGUUCGUGAAUAAGCUACUGAUUGCGUAUUUAUGACAAAUUUUUACCGUUCUGUUGAGGUGUCUCGCGGUGUUGCGUACGUGGCUGACGGUGCCGGGGAAUUGGCAUUAAUAAGCUAGAAACUCUAGUUCCACAUUUGAUUGUGGUUUCACAACUGUUAUUUAUUAUUUAAACGUUUUGAUGCUUUCAUUUUUUUGGAGCUCUUUGGUUUUGUUUUGCCGUUUAAGUUUGGCCAUAGGACAUAUCACCAAAUUCGUUAAAUCGAUUAAUUUAGUUGGAUAGGUGGUUAACGACUUAAUAAAAGUUGGGUACUUGAAGUUUCACAUUUUGAAAAAUUAAUUGUUUCAAUGGUCGAUGAACUUAGGUCCAUGUCUUUUUUCAUUGGUCACUCAAGUUUAAAAUGUCAAGAUUUGGUUAUUGAACUUAGAUCAAUAUUUUCGAUUGCUCUUCGAACUUAGGUCCAUGUCUUAUAUUUUUCAUUGAAAUUUAAAAUGUCGAGUUUUGACCACUGAAUUUUGGAUUAUACCGUAUGUUACUUAUUAGCUAGCAUAAUUGUUGAAUUUUGAAAAAUAUCAAGUUUACAGUGAAUAAUACACAGCAAUUUUCAAAAUUUAUUGAGUAAUGUACAACAUUUUUCAAAAUUCAUUUGACAAAACUCGAUAUUUUAAACUUCAAUGAGCAAUUGAAGGCAUGAACCUAAAUUUAGUGACCAAAAUUCGACAUUUUUAAUUUCUGUGACCAUUCAAAGACAUGGACUCAAGUUCGGUGACUAUGGGAACAAUUAACUCCACUUUGAAAAUUUGGCUACCAACAGAGUUUUUAAACCCUCUUUAAGACAUGAGAAAUCAGAAAUAUAGUUGAUUAAAGAAAGACGAAGAAUAUACAUAUAGAAUUCUUGCAGACUGAUGUUGUUUGUGCAUUCCCACCCCGCAUUAAGCUCCAGCAAAUUGAUUGGAAGAUAAUGCAAUGAUUCAUUUGUUUUCUUCAAAUAAUACUUUCUUAAAUCUCUUUACUUCAUCCAAUGACUUGUUUUUUCUCUUAGGUAUCAAGGCUAGGUUAUGGUUGUAUGGGGCUUUCAGGUGCCUACGGUAAUCCUGUCCCUGAGGAGGAUGCAAUUGCAGUAAUCAAAGAGGCAUUUAGUAAAGGCAUCACAUUUUUUGACACAUCGGAUGCUUAUGGUCCGGACCAUGCCAAUGAGUACCUGGUGGGGAAGGUAGGUGCUUUACUGAGAUACUUACUCUUGAUCAUGGCAGCACAUUUGAAUUUAUGUGCUGGCAAGAUACUUCUUUUGUCAUCGAAAGUUGAUGUGAACAACAAUAAUGGUAUUCUAUGGCAUCAAGCUGAUCUAAAUAAAGUUCCAUUUCCUUGCGUAUAACUCUGCGAUAAUAAAACAACACGUGGAAAUUUUGUGACAGAAAGAAAAAGGACAGACAGCUUCAUUUCGCGAAUAUAUCCGUUGAAACUUCUUGUGUUUAUUGAAAAUAUUAUUGAACUUAACGUGAUUGAAUUUUUUCUUCAAAAGUUGAGAACAAUAGUUGAUAAAAGUCCAGCUAUCGGCUAUUGUAUCUGUAAGUUAUAUAAAGUGUGUGAUAUUAAAAAAACUGAAUUGGCGAACAAUUAUCUCUUUGAAAAAAAUAUAAUUUUGUCUUUAGAUGAUUCUUGAAGUUAUGUUUAACUUAAAGUUUCCCUUCCUGGCCUCUUAUUAGAUUAUUAUUAAUUCAGAAACCAGUAAAUGUAACCAUAAGCACUUCAUGGUCACCUUUGAGUUGUCUUAACUUAGGGAAUUCAUAUUUUGCAGGCAUUAAAGCAGUUACCGCGAGAAAAAGUCCAAUUAGCUACAAAGUUUGGUGUAGCCGGGUAUGAUGCAUCUGGAGUUAUAGUGAAAGGUUCACCUGAAUAUGCCCGCUCUUGCUGUGAGGCUAGCCUGAAGGUUCUUGGCGU